rnacentral:lncRNA from 1 species
AUGGAGCAGUGGAUGGGAAAGAUGGAGCAGUGCCUCAAGCAGCUUCCAGGCCUCAGUAUCCCCACUCCAGGUUUGCUGUUGCACCCAGCCCGAUGGCUGUCGGGAGCUCUGGGUACCACGCUUGGCAUUCAGGCUUGGGGAAGGGCGAGCCGUAGCCCUGGGCAUUGCGCUGCCUCUUGGCCAGAGCAUCCAAAGCCCUCUGCAGGAGUGACUCAGGCGUUAGGGAUGCAGUGCUGGGGCAGACCGUGCCCCAGGCUGAAGCCGAGCAGCGUUGGCCUGCGAGCAGUGCCAGGGACCUGCUCUGAGAGCCAUCCUGUUCCCAGCGGCAGCUCCGCACGCUCAGCCAAGACAUCUCCAUUCCAAAAGCAGCCGUUUCUGGCAGCGCCGAGCCAGGCUCUGGCUCCCAGCCCUGGGCUGCCUCCCCCAACCUGUGCCUCCUGCUGCCACGCUGCAUCCUCCCUCCCCUCCCCCUGGCACCUGCGGCUCCUCCACCCCCCGGUGCCGGUGCCAGUGGGUCCAUCUGGGUCCGUUUGCCCUGCCCUCAGCUCCGGGUUGCCUCCCGCUCUUGGCAUCCUUCCCAGGCUCUUGGGGUACGGGGCUGAUCUUCCCGGUGCCCCCAGCGUGCUUCCAGGAGUGGGCAGAAGCCUUGCCAGGAAGGAUGUUACUCAUCCUCUAAACAUCCUUUUCCCUGGCCGGCAGCCACAAGAAGGCUGCCAGCAGAUGAGCAGCGGGAGCACGAGGUGGUCCCCGCUUGGGGAGGGGACUGAUACCCACGGGGGGGGGUCUGCACCUUUUGAUGGGGAUGUUUGCAGCUCCCCGUCCCAAGCGCAGCAUGGAAAAGGGGAAAUUGACCCCCAUCAAUUGACCCCAAUCAAUGACACCCAUCCCGAAGGUGGCUGUGUUAUCCAAGGUCCCCCAAGCAGUGCCGGUACCAACCCUUGUGUUCUGCUGGGAGCUUGGGGGGAGCACCGGUGUCCUCACUGUGCUGCAGGUUUGGAACAGCCCCGGUUUGGUGUUGCCGUGCUCAGCACAGAAGGGCAGCACAGCUCCCGGGCGCUGCAGCCCUGGCAGUAUUUAAGAGAUUCCACGGAUUGA